rnacentral:rRNA from 1 species
AGCGAACGCUGGCGGCAGGCUUAACACAUGCAAGUCGAGCGGGCGUAGCAAUACGUCAGCGGCAGACGGGUGAGUAACGCGUGGGAACGUACCUUUUGGUUCGGAACAACACAGGGAAACUUGUGCUAAUACCGGAUAAGCCCUUACGGGGAAAGAUUUAUCGCCGAAAGAUCGGCCCGCGUCUGAUUAGCUAGUUGGUGAGGUAACGGCUCACCAAGGCGACGAUCAGUAGCUGGUCUGAGAGGAUGAUCAGCCACAUUGGGACUGAGACACGGCCCAAACUCCUACGGGAGGCAGCAGUGGGGAAUAUUGGACAAUGGGCGCAAGCCUGAUCCAGCCAUGCCGCGUGAGUGAUGAAGGCCCUAGGGUUGUAAAGCUCUUUUGUGCGGGAAGAUAAUGACGGUACCGCAAGAAUAAGCCCCGGCUAACUUCGUGCCAGCAGCCGCGGUAAC